rnacentral:rRNA from 1 species
GCCAGACUCCUACGGGAGGCAGCAGUGGGGAAUAUUGCACAAUGGGGGGAACCCUGAUGCAGCGACGCCGCGUGGGUGAAGGAGCACCUCGGUGCGUAAAGCCCUAUCGGCAGGGAAGAAAAGCGAACAGGUUCGCCUGGACGGUACCUGACUAAGAAGCCCCGGCUAACUACGUGCCAGCAGCCGCGGUAAUACGUAGGGGGCAAGCGUUAUCCGGAUUCACUGGGUGUAAAGGGAGCGUAGACGGCGACGCAAGUCUGGAGUGAAAGCCCGGGGCCCAACCCCGGGACUGCUUUGGAAACUGUGUAACUUGAGUACAGGAGGGGCAGGCGGAAUUCCUGGUGUAGCGGUGAAAUGCGUAGAUAUCAGGAGGAACACCGGCGGCGAAGGCGGCCUGCCGGACUGAAACUGACGUUGAGGCGCGAAAGCGUGGGGAGCAAACAGGAUUAGAUACCCUUGUACA